GACGAACGCUGGCGGCGUGCUUAACACAUGCAAGUCGAGCGGAAAGGCCCUUUCGGGGGUACUCGAGCGGCGAACGGGUGAGUAACACGUGAGUAAUCUGCCCUUGGCUUUGGGAUAACCACCGGAAACGGUGGCUAAUACCGGAUAUGACGCGCCCCGGCAUCGGGGUGUGUGGAAAGUUUUUUCGGCCAGGGAUGUGCUCGCGGCCUAUCAGCUUGUUGGUGGGGUAAUGGCCUACCAAGGCUUCGACGGGUAGCCGGCCUGAGAGGGUGGCCGGCCACACUGGGACUGAGACACGGCCCAGACUCCUACGGGAGGCAGCAGUGGGGAAUAUUGGACAAUGGGCGGAAGCCUGAUCCAGCAACGCCGCGUGAGGGAUGACGGCCUUCGGGUUGUAAACCUCUUUCAGUACCGACGAAGCGCCGAUGAUGGUGGUGACGGUAGGUACAGAAGAAGCACCGGCCAACUACGUGCCAGCCGCCGCCGUAAUAC
rnacentral:rRNA from 1 species